UACAGAGGUCUCGAGCGUUAGGCGGAAUCACUGGGCUUAAAGCGUGUGUAGGUGGAUGCCUAAGUACCUUGUGAAAUCCCACGGCCUUAACCGUGGAACUGCUUGGUAUACUGGGUGUCUUGAGUCACUCAGGGGCGAGCGGAACAAAUGGUGGGAGCGGUGAAAUGCGUAGGAAUAUCAUUUGGAACGCCAAUGGUGAAAACAGCUCGCUGGGGGUGUACUGACACUGAGACACGAAAGCCAGGGGAGCGAACGGG
rnacentral:rRNA from 1 species